rnacentral:rRNA from 1 species
UAGGGAAUAUUGGGCAAUGGAGGAAACUCUGACCCAGCCAUGCCGCGUGAAGGAUUAAGGUCCUCUGGAUUGUAAACUUCUUUUAUAGGGGAAGAAAUUUUAAAAUUUAUUUUAAAUUGCCGGUACCCUAGGAAUAAGCACCGGCUAACUCCGUGCCAGCAGCCGCGGUAAUACGGAGGGUGCAAGCGUUAUCCGGAUUCACUGGGUUUAAAGGGUGCGUAGGUGGGAAAGUUAGUCAGUGGUGAAAAUUCUAAGCUUAACUUAGAAAUUGCCAUUGAUACUGCUUUUCUUGAGUCCGAUUGAAGUGGACGGAAUAUGGCAUGUAGCGGUGAAAUGCUUAGAGAUGUCAUAGAACACCAAUUGCGAAGGCAGUUCACUAAGUCGUAACUGACACUGAGGCACGAAAGUGUGGGGAGCAAACAG